GAUGAACGCUGGCGGCGUGCUUAACACAUGCGAGUCGAACGGAAAGGCUCCUGCUUGCAGGGGUACUCGAGUGGCGAACGGGUGAGUAACACGUGGGUGAUCUGCCCUGCACUUCGGGAUAAGCCUGGGAAACUGGGUCUAAUACCGGAUAGGACCACAUUUUGGAUGGUGUGGUGGAAAGUUUUUCGGUGUGGGAUGAGCUCGCGGCCUAUCAGCUUGUUGGUGGGGUAAUGGCCUACCAAGGCGUCGACGGGUAGCCGGCCUGAGAGGGUGUACGGCCACAUUGGGACUGAGAUACGGCCCAGACUCCUACGGGAGGCAGCAGUGGGGAAUAUUGCACAAUGGGCGCAAGCCUGAUGCAGCGACGCCGCGUGGGGGAUGACGGCCUUCGGGUUGUAAACUCCUUUCGCUAGGGACGAAGCGCAAGGGACGGUACCUGGAGAAGAAGCACCGGCUAACUACGU
rnacentral:rRNA from 1 species